rnacentral:ncRNA from 2 species
ACGAUGGCCUCUGUAAUUGGAAUGAUUACACUUUAAAUCCCUUAACAAGGACCUAUUGGAGGGCAAGUCUGGUGCCAGCAGCCGCGGUAACUCCAGCUCCAA